AUUGAACGCUGGCGGCAGGCUUAACACAUGCAAGUCGAGCGAGCGGCGGACGGGUGAGUAAUGUCUGGGAAACUGCCUGAUGGAGGGGGAUAACUACUGGAAACGGUAGCUAAUACCGCAUACCAUCAGAUGUGCCCAGAUGGGAUUAGCUAGUAGGUGGGGUAAUGGCUAACCUAGGCGACGAUCCCUAGCUGGUCUGAGAGGAUGGCAGGCCACCUGGGACGUAAGCCACGGUCCAGACUCCUACGGAAGGCAGCAGGGGGGAAGAUUGCACGAUGGGCGCAAGCCUGAUGCAGCCAUGCCGCGUGUGUGAAGAAGGCCUUCGGGUUGUAAAGCACUUUCAGCGAGGAGGCGUUACUCGCAGAGGAAGCACCGGCUAACUCCGUGCCAGCAGCCGCGGUAGUU
rnacentral:rRNA from 1 species